rnacentral:rRNA from 1 species
AGCGAACGCUGGCGGCAGGCCUAACACAUGCAAGUCGAACGAACCUUUCGGGGUUAGUGGCGGACGGGUGAGUAACACGUGGGAACGUGCCUUUAGGCUCGGAAUAAUUCAGGGAAACUUGUGCUAAUACCGAAUGUGCCCCUCGGGGGCCAGAUUAAUCGCCUUUAGAGAGGCCCGCGUCUGCUUAGCUAGUUGGUUGAGGUAAUGGCUCACCAAGGUGACGAUCAGUAGCUGGUCUGAGAGGAUGAACAGCCACAUUGGGACUGAGACGCGGCCCAAACUCCUACGGGAGGCAGCAGUGGGGAAUCUUGCGCAAUGGGCGAAAGCCUGACGCAGCCAUGCCGCGUGAAUGAUUAAGUUCUUAGAAUAGUAAAAUUCUUUCACCGGGGACGGUAAUGACGGUACCCGGAGAAGAAGCCCCGGCUAACUUCGUG